AGGUUGAAAUGGAAAUGACCUAAACUUCAGAAGUGCAUCUUUUAAAAAGUUACCGGUGAAAUGCACUUGAAGUACCCAGUAAAUCAUGUCAAAUGAAUUGGACAAGAAGGAUGAGAAGUGUUAAUCUCACACCUCUUGACUAUCAGUGGAAUAAUCCAAAACUUCGGAUCAAAACCUAAAUUUUUUUCAACCUGAGUACUUGAAAUGGUGCUUACAAGUAAGUUUCUGUUUUCCUAAAUGAUUACGUGUAAUGUUCUUCAGUCAUGUUUUGCCCUUUUGUUUAGACCUAUACUUGUAUAGGUCAAAAUGUAGAAACAUGAUAUUAAGUACAUAUGCAGCUAUUAAAAAUUAAUUUUCUCAUUUUUAUGAAGACAAAUUUUCAGAAGUAAUUUUUUUCAGUUAAAAUGCUUGUGUAAAGUCUUAGAUGCUCUUUUCAUGAUGAUUCAGGACAACAAAGCUUUGGCUGAUUUUGGCAGUCCGUGCUCUCUCUCCACUAUAAAUGUAAAGUAUAAAAACCAAAGACCUUAUGGUGUGGAUAGUGAAAAUAGCUUUGGAAUUAGAUCCUACUUCUGAUUCUGGCUUUCCCUAGUUGUCUGACACUUGACAAGUGACUUAAUUUUGAGCUGCAAGUUUUGUCAUCUGUAAAAUGGGGUGGUGAAACUUAGAGUUGUGAGGAUUAAAGUAUGUGAAAUGCCCAUCACAUAGGCACAUUGAAAUAUUAUCCUUUGACGUCUUCCUACUCAGUUUUUCUAAAUGUUUUUAAAUCACCUUAUCUAUAGUGGACUCUAGCAUAUUAUCCUCUACUUUGUUUUUCUUGCUCACUGGUUUUGAACUCAGGCUUUAAGGGCAAGGACUCCUGUUGUUUACCAGAGCGUGUGUUACCAGAGUGUGGGUGACUUAGUUAUCAGUAAUAGUUAGCUAACAUUUAUUAGGUGUCUACUGUGGCUACUCUGAGCUGAGCUAGGUGUAAGGACUACAAAGACAAGACUUAUGUCUCUGUUUUUUGAAAGUGCUCAGUCCUAGUGACAUCCUCCGCAUAACACCAUGUUAUGUGAAAGUUUGUCAAACAAUGGAACUACAUUCUCCUGGUGCCUUUCUAAUCCUUCGGCAGGUCUGUGGACUCAAUGCCGCCUACUCCCAGCUCUUAUUCUAAAGAAUAUUGCUGCACUCCUCCCUUUAUAUACUGUCUGUCACAUGUUAGAUUCUUCAUAUUUCAGUGGCAAUCCUCCACUCCAAUCUGGCACAUAGUGUGUGAGUGUGUGUGUAUAUAUAUGUAUAAAGAAAAUAAACUUACUUUGGCCUGUAUAUACUCUGGUAUUUUUCUGAGAUGAUUGUCAUUCUGUCAUCUGGUUAUAAAUUCAUAGGAGUUGUAGGCCUGAAAGGGAAAGUCACCAAGUUGUAUCCGACUUUUUGCGACCCCAUGGACUAUACAGUCCAUGGAGUUCUCCAGGCCAGAAUACUGGAGUGAGUAGCCUUUCCUUUCGCUAAGGGAUCUUCCCAACCCAGGGAUUGAACCCAGUUCUCUCCCAUUGCAGGUGGAUUCUUUACCAGCUGAGCCACAAGGGAAACCCAAGAAUACUGGAGUGGGUAGCCUAUGCCUUCUCUAGGGGAUCUUCCCGACCAAGGAAUCGAACCGGGGUCUCCUGCAUUGCAGGCGGAUUCUUUACCAACUGAGCUAUUAGGAAAGCCCAUUGUAGGCCUAAGUGGGGCUGUUCUUGCUUCAUACAUGAGGAAAUUGAAUUGCAGACCUUUAAAAUGAUUUUCUUUAAGUCACCAGGUGGCAGAGCCAGGGCACAUUUUGAGCCUCUGGACCCUAGUUAGGACUCUGCACACAAUGGUACUGUUUUGUCCUAUCUGUUGGGAGGAGUGUUAAACUUUGCUUUGAGAAUACUCACCCACCUUUUUUCAAUUACAUGCUUUCUAUAAUAUUAGUAGAAUAUCAUACCAUUAGUAGAAUAUCACUGCCCAAGUGGCAUAGUGGUAAAGAAUCUGCCUGCCAGUGCAGGAGACCCAAGAAACGGGUUGGGAAGAUGCCCUGGAAUAGGAAAUGGCAACCCACUCCAGUAUUCUUGCUUGGAAAAUUCCAUGGACAGAGGAGGCUGACUGUCUACAGUCCAUGGGGUUGACAGUAUGACAGCACACAUACAUGAUAUUAGUAGAAAACAACCUUUAACAAGAUGCCUUUUCUGACCAUAGCAGUUACUGGAGGAAAUGGGACUUUUUCUUCUAAUAUAGGAAAUAAAGAAAAAUUAUAGUAAGUGGAAUUAGUGUUAAUAUACAAGCCUAUAUCCUUUGUUCAAAAUGUGUGAUGUUUGAAAUACUUAAAGAUUCUAUUUAAACAGAUUUAUAAUGAGAUGACUUAUUAAUAAAUACAUGAUAAAUUUCUUUGCUGACUUUUCAUUUAAUCUCAGAAAUGUCACUUAAAGUGCUUUGAUCUAAGUUAUCUCUUAUCUUUAACAUGUAAAUAGCAUUAUGGAUAGGAAGUUUAGAGAAGAUCAUUAAGUAUAGGUCUAUUUGAAAAAGAAAUAAGGCUAGUAUUUUCUUUUUUGACCACUACAUUUUGCACAUGAAAUUUAGCUGACAGUUAUUACUGCUUGAUUCUAAGUCUUGUGACUGUGAACAUCAUAAAAUUAUAUAUGAAAUUCUAAGUGCUUCAGAGUCUCCACAGGUUCAAUGAACGGAAGCCGUGGAGAACCAUUGAUGUGGAGGAAGAAACGCUAAGUUUGGUGUCGGAAGAUCGUGGUUCAUUCUUCUCUAAUUUCCUAGUGGGUAUGAACAAGCCGUUUAGCAUUCAAAGGCUUGGCUCUCCUGUCAAGUAAAGGUGUUACUUUCUUUGUCUCUGAGGGUUAUGAUUUUCAAAUGAGAUCAUUCUCGAAAAAGUAGAUUCAUAACUACAAACUGACCUUAUAACUGAGUUAGUGUUUUGCCCGAGAAAACAAGUUGAUUAGUAAUGGACAGGUUAUUGGAACCUUGGUAUAUUUUCAUGUUUUCUCUACUUAAAUUUUUAACCUUUCCAUAGAAAUAUUAUUUGGGGAAGUACUUAGUAUGUGAAUUUAUUUUAUAUUUGGUAAUACAUUAGAAAUAAACAGCAGAUCUUAAUAGUAUUGUUAGUCCAAAGUCAAAUCACUUCUGUAAUUUGCUUUAUUUUUGACCUCUCUUGUUGAUGUGACAAUAGCAAGUGAAUUAUAAGGUUGACCUGAAAGAAAAAGUUUUGGAGACAGACUCUUACUGUGCUUUGCUCAAUGGUUCUGUCCUCCUUCCUCUCAGCGACCCUUUGGACUGAAGCCUGCAAGGUUCCUCUGUCCAUGGAAUUUUCCAGGCAAGAAUCCUGGAGUGGGUUGCCAUUUCCUAUUCCAGUCUUCCUAGAAUCUUACUAGAUAAGAUUAUUCCUGAAGUUCAGUUUUAGGAAAUCUGCUAGAAUCUUCUGUCAUAUGUGGAUUGUAGAAGAUAAUCCUAUGUAAGACUUCAUUUAUUAAAGUCAGCAUCUGUGCUGCAAAUAAAGCACGAAGGUGGCGGUAUAGGAGCUCUAAACACUUACACAAGUAGCAUAAAACUGUUCUUUCGGUGAAACUCGUGGCUAGCCAAUGUGGAGAAUACUGUGGUGACUUUAUCUCAUUGUGUUCCAGAAGUUGAUCUUCUGUACCCUUUGCUAUCAGUUGAGGUUAGUCAAGCACAGAUCCCUUUAUGUUACAGAAAUAAAACAUGAAACUUUUUUUGACCUCUUCGUGGUGUGUAGGCUUGUAGCUCUUUUUUAGUUCUUAAUAGGUGGUGCCUUUUUACAUAAUUUCAGUAAUUCAGAAUUUCACAUUGAAGAAAAGUAGUGCUGCACAUGAAUUAUGUAGCUAGAAGCUGAAUGAAGGUGCUGCCAGUACUUUACCCAUAAUUUUUCAUUUGAUAACUUUUGUCUCCUUGUAUCAAAAGGAACAAGUUAUCCAUUUCAAGUUUCUAAUAGACUUCGACCUCAGCAGCUUCCCUCUUUUUUUGUUUCUGGUUUGAUUGUGUUGGGUUUUCAUUGCUGUGUGGCUUCUCUCGUUACAAUGUGUGGGCUCUGGAGUGUGCAGGCUCAGUAGUUGUGGCACAUGGACAGCAGCCUCCCUCUUGAACAUGAGAAGGUACUCUUAGAAUUGCCCCUGUGACCUGCUUAGAAUUGCCCCUGUGACCUGUCAGAAUGGCUCUCAUCAAGAAAUCUACAAACAGUAAAUGCUACAGUGGGUAUGGAGAAAACUUGCACUGUUGGUGGGAAUGCAAAUUGAUACAGCCACUAUGGGGAACAGUGUGGAGAUUCCUUAAAAAACUAGGAAUAAAACCAUAUGACCCAGCAAUCCCACUACUAGGUAUAUACCCUGAGGAAACUAAAAUUGAAAAAAGACACAUGUGACCCAGUGUUCAUUGCAGCCCUAUCUACAGUAGCUAGGACAUGGAAGCAACCUAGAUGGCCAUCAACAGAUAAAUGGAUAAAGAAGCUGUGGUGCAUAUAUACAGUGGAAUAUUUAGUUCAGUUCAGUCGCUCAGUCGUGUCCGACUCUUUGCGACCCCAUGAAUCGCAGCACGCCAGGCCUCCCUGUCCAUCACCAACUCCCGGAGUUCACUCAGACUCACAUCCAUCGAGUCAGUGAUGCCAUCCAGCCAUCUCAUCGUCUGUUGUCCUCUUCUCCUCCUGCCCCCAAUCCCUCCCAGCAUCAGUCUUUUCCAAUGAGUCAACUCUUCUCAUGAGGUGGCCAAAGUACUGAAUUUCAGCUUUAGCAUCAUUCCUUCCAAAGAAAUCCCAGGGCUGGUCUCCUUCAGAAUGGACUGGUUGGAUCUCCAUGCAGUCGAAGGGACUCUCAAGAGUCUUCUCCAACACCACAGUUCAAAAGCAUCAGUUCUUCAGAGCUCAGCUUUCUUCACAGUCCAACUCUCACAUCUAUACAUGACCACUGGAAAACCAUAGCCUUGACUAGAUGGACCUUUGUUGGCAAAGUAAUGUCUCUGCUAUUGAAUAUGCUAUCUAGGUUGCUCAUAACUUUUCUUCCAAGGAGUAAGUGUCUUUUAAUUUCAUGGCUGCAAUCACCAUCUGCAGUGAUUUUGGAGCCCCAAAAAUAAAGUCUGACAUUGUUUUCACUGUUUCCCCAUCUAUUUCCCAUGAAGUGAUGGGAUUGGAUGCCAUGAUCUUCGUUUUCUGAAUGUUGAGCUUUAAGCCAACUUUUCGUUCUCCUCUUUGACUUUCAUCAAGAGGCUUUUUAGUUCCUCUUCACUUUCUGCCAUAAGGGUGGUGUCAUCUGCAUAUCUGAGGUUCUUGAUAUUUCUCCCAGCAAUCUUGAUUCCAGCUUGUGUUUCUUCCAGUCCAGCGUUUCUCAUGAUGUACUCUGCAUAUAAGUUAAAUAAGCAGGGUGACAAUAUACAGCCCUGACGUACUCGUUUUCCUGUUUGAAACCAGUCUGUUGUUCCAUGGCCAGUUCUAACUGUUGCUUCCUGACCUGCAUUACUCAGCCAUAAAAAGGCACACAUUUGAGUCAGUCCUAAUGAGGUAGAUGAACCUAGAGCCUAUUAUACAGAGUGAAGUAAGUCAGAAAGAGAAAAACAGUUAUUGUAUACUAAAGCAUGUAUUUGAAAUCUAGAAAGAUGGUACUGAUGACCCUGUUUGCAGAGCAGCAAUGGAAACACAGAUGUUGAGAACAGACUUACCCACGGGGCUUGAGGAUAGAGUGGGGAAGGAAAGGGUGGGAGGUGUGGCUGAGAGAGUAAGGUGGAAACGUUAUUACCGUAUGUACAUAGUCAAUGGGAAUUUGCUGUGUUACUCAGGGAACUAAAGGAGCUCUGUAACAACCUACAGGGCUGGAAUGGGGAGGUAUAUGUAUUUAUCCCAUGCAGAUGAGUUUUUACCCUGUUUUAAAACAUUCAAGUAGGAGGGGCAUGGGUCAACCUAUGGCUGAUUCAUGUUGAUGUUUGAUAGAAACCAAUGCAAUACUGUAAAGCAACUCUUUUUCAGUUAAAAAAAAAUUGCCCUUGUGAGAUGUAGCCAUUAUGCUAACUCAUUUAUUUUAUAUUCUUUGUGAUGCAGAGUAAAUCCUGAAUUUUCCUUCCAAAUUAAACAUACAGACAGUACAGAGAAUAAUAAUGAUUAUAUGUGUACCACUCUGUAUGGACAGGUGUCACAUUUUGUCACUUCUUUGUACUCUCUAGCACCCUUUCUAAAAGUGAUGUUAUUUUCCUCUCGGAUGAUCGCUCUAGCACUGCAGAUGCCACUACAGGAAUUUCCUCAUACUUUCCAAAAAAUACUUUCUUAAUCUCUUAUAUGUAAAGCAUCAUUCUGUUCUUCAGAAGGGAAAGGGUGAGACGCUCAGCAUUGUUUUCGAUAUAGAGCUAAUAGGUCACAGGGAGAAAUAUAGGUUAAUUUCCAGCUUAUUACCUUAGUAUUUUUUUUUUUAGGAAUUCUGUUAAUUGUGCCUUGUGUGUAUUUGUCAAUGUUGAUAACCUUUUGGUGUGCCAUGAAUAAGGAUACUAAAUAUUUACCUUUGCUAAUAAGUUAAGUUUUUGUUUUGAGAAUUAAAAACAAAAGGUAUCUUUUGAGCAGCUGUUACAUUUGACAUGUAUACUGAUUGAUAAACCGUAUUUCAUACAAAGAGUAAUUAGAUAAAAUUUUUCUUUCCUAGUUUUCUGAGGUGAGUUGUAUUCUGUGUUGACGAUGGAAAACUGCUGUUAAAGAUAAUCCAAAUGUAGUGCUCUUUAGAAAUGAGAUGCUUUUCUAAUUAGUGAAGCUGCCUCAUUCAUAUUAAAUUUUUCAUACAUUUUGCUGUGGUUAUGAGAGUUUCUGUAGCGCCCCCCACCCCCCAUUCAUAUAUGGAAAUCCUAACACCCCUCCUAACCUGCUGCCAUUGUGAUGGCAUUAAGUGGCCUUUGGGAGGUGAUAAGGUUUUCAGAAUGGAGCCCUUCUGAUGGAAUUAGUGCCCUUUGAAAAACUCCAAAGAGCUCCUUCCCUUUUUCUGUCAUGUGAGUAUAUAGCCAGAAGACCAUCAUCUAUGAAGCAGGAAGCUGAUUCUCACCAGAUAUCAAAUCUGUUGGUGCUUUAACUUGGACUUCCUGGCUCCAGAACUGUGAGAAAUAAAUUUCUGUUGUUUAUACACCAUCCAGUCUAUGAUAUUUUGUUAAAUAAGCAGCCGAAAUGGACUAGGGCAUAUUAAACAUGUUUAAAGGAUAGAAAAGGAAAAUAGAAAAUUAAAUGGAUAAAAUUGGUAGCUAACAUAGGGGUAUAGUGUGCUUGUUAAAAUGGAACUGCUUCUUAAAAGUUGAUAUAAUGUUGAAACUGAGAACACUUAAGUGUAAUAGAAAAGCUGAACUGAUGUUAGACUUCUGUAUACAUAAAACUAGAUUUCUGCAUUUAAAGGCUUCUAUGUCUUUAAAUUUAACUAUUACCCAGUGUAGUAUAUUUCAAAUUAUCUUCAAAAUGAAAAAGCGAAAUCUUAGGUUUCACUUAACUCAAUGAAGAGUCAGUCUACUCCCUCCCUCUCAAAAUUCCUCUUUGAUCUUUUGGAUAGAUGAAAGGUAGGGAGGGGUGAAUUUAAAAAUAGAUGGUUCUCAGUUGGAAAAUAGGUAGGUCACAUCUCAGCUAAAAUUAAAUGAUUUAUUUACUUAUGGAUUUAAAAUUCGACAUGAACAGUAAAUACUUGCUGUCUCUUUUUUCUUCAUGUAAUCUUUUAGAUAUUUGUAAGUAUUGGAUAAAUGAACUGCCUUAUAGUUAGUUCAGGACUACUUUUAGAUAGCUCUUGGGACUAAUGAACUCUAGGCUUCAGAACUUUUAAUACUUUUAAGUAAAGAUGAGCUAGAAGUCAGCCUGGGCUUGGGCCAGAGACCCACUUCACUGCCUGUGCAUGCCCUGAAUUGACAAGGCAUUUCUAGGAAGGGGUGUGUGUGCGCGUGCACCAGAUUUUGACAAAUUGGAGCUGAUCACUCUUUAGCCUACUAAGGUUUUCUUUCAAACAAUUAAGAUCUAAUUCCUGUAUGUGCUGUUUAGCUACCUACUUUGUUUAAAAUGGCAAUAAUUUACAAUAGUAUUCAUUUUGUUUUCUUACUCUGACAUCUUUCCUUAGUCCUUUUUUAUAAAGGAAACAGGUGGGAUUAGGUGAUCUCCCAGGUAAUUUUCAGCUUGGAUAUUAUAUGUUCACUUUCUUCUUUUUAAAAUAUAUAUGUAUAUUUUAAUUAAAAACAUUUAAAACAGAGUAAAUAAUAUAGCAAAUACUCAUUUAGUCACCACUCAGAACUAUAAAUUAUGCAAAUUUUGAUCCUUUGAGAAACAAAUGCAGUCUUACAUAUUCACUUGUAGCCACCUCAUGCCCAAGUCCUAUUAAUUCUCUCUUUACCUAAGGUAAUAAUGAUUCCGGGGUUCUUGAAUUUCAUACCCUUGAUUAUACUUUUACUGUAUAUAUGUACUUGUAUCUGUGAAUGAUAUAUGUGGUAUUGGAUUUUGUGUUUUAAAAUUUUUGUGAAGUGAUAUUGUGUGUAUCUUUCAGUUUUUUUUCUUUUUACUAUUUUUUGGCAUAUGUAUGUUGAUACAUGUAGCUCUAGUUUAGUUUAACUGCUGUAUAGUACUCCAUUGUACAAUAUAUCAAAUAUGUGUGUCUCACUGUUAAUGGAUAUUUGAGUUGUUUCCUUUUCUAUUGCAGUGCUGCAGUGAUCAUUUGUACACAUUUCUUUGCAUGUAUUUCUUUAUAGAAAGACUCGUGGAAGUGAAACUGCUGGGAAAUAGAUUGUGAAUAUCUUUAACUUUACUAGAUGUUGCUAAAUUCUCUAAAAUGUCAGUAUAUGCUUAUCAGCAGUAUAUGGACAUUACUUUUUCUAAUAUCCUAGCCUAUACUUGAAAUUGUCAGAUUUUAACAUUUUUGCAGAUUUGAAGGGUGUGAAAUGAUACCUCAUUUUAAUUUUCAUUUGCCUGAGUUAUUAAUUCUGGGUGCUGGAUAUAUGGAUAUGAAGUUUAUUAAUAUGUGCUUUAAGUGUUUCCUGAAUUAAUGUUUUAAAAGGAAAAAAGAUACUAUUAUACAACACCUAUGUUAUCAAGGAUCUUGGAGAUCAUCUCAUCCAGCAUUCUUAAUUUAUAAUGCAGCCAAGAGAGUUAAGGUUAGUCAUUAGAGUAAUAAUAACAUAGAAAAUGGUACUUACUAUCCAUUGUGAUAUUCUCUUCUGGGAUAUAAUAUUUCAGUUUUUCAAUUGAAGCUCAUGAGUCUUCUAUGAUUUCUGUUUUUAUUGGAUUUUAAUUUUUAAAUUUAAUUUAAAAUUUUAAUUUUAAUGUCUGCUAAUCAUUGAGAGGUUUUUGUUAUUUAUCUUUUUGCAUUUAGGUCAGUCUGGGGGGAAGUUAGGAAUUGGGUUUUUUUUUUUUUUUUUGGUAUGAAAAACUAGCAUCAGCAUUAAGCGUUGGAUCCUUUCCUCAUUAUUUUCUUUAGUAUCACCUGUAUCAGCUACCAUAUGUUUGGGUUUGGUUUUAAUUUCUUUAUUUUAUUUUCUUUAAGCACUGUUACUGUAUUACUUUGUUUCAAAUAACUUUAUAUUAAGCUUUGAAAUCUGUGAGUCAGAACUUACUCUUUUAUUUUCAGAAUUAUUUUUCUUAGACUUUCAUUCUUUCAUAAUCCAUCACAUAUAAUGUAUAUGAAAUAUAUAUGGAAUAAUGUAUAUAAAAUGUAUAUGGAAUAAUAUAUAUGAAAUACAUAUAUGGAAUAAUAUAUAUGAAAUACAUAUAUGGAA
ensembl:lncRNA